GAGCACGUAGGUGGGUUUGUAAGUCAGAUGUGAAAGCCUUCUGUUCAACGGAAGAAUUGCAUCUGAAACUGCUAAUCUUGAGUAUAGGAGGGGAGAAUGGAACUUCUGGUGGAGCGGUGAAAUGCGUAGAUAUCAGAAGGAACGCCGGCGGCGAAAGCGAUUUUCUGGCCUAUUACUGACACUCAGUGUGCGAAAGCUAGGGGAGCAAACGGGAUUAGAUACCCCGGUAGUCCUAGCCGUAAACGAUGGGCACUAAGUAGAGGGGUUUUAA
rnacentral:rRNA from 1 species